rnacentral:rRNA from 1 species
CCUGAGUACGACGGAGCACGUGAAAUUCCGUCGGAAUCUGGGAGGACCAUCUCCUAAGGCUAAAUACUCUCUAGUGACCGAUAGUGAACCAGUACCGUGAGGGAAAGGUGAAAAGUACCCCGGAAGGGGAGUGAAAGAGAACUUGAAACCGUGUGCUUACAAGUAGUCAGAGCCCGUUAAUGGGUGAUGGCGUGCCUUUUGUAGAAUGAACCGGCGAGUUACGAUCUGAUGCAAGGUUAAGCAGAAAAUGUGGAGCCGUAGCGAAAGCGAGUCUGAAUAGGGCGAAUGAGUAUUUGGUCGUAGACCCGAAACCAGGUGAUCUACCCUUGGUCAGGUUGAAGUUCAGGUAACACUGAAUGGAGGACCGAACCGACUUACGUUGAAAAGUGAGCGGAUGAACUGAGGGUAGCGGAGAAAUUCCAAUCGAACUUGGAGAUAGCUGGUUCUCUCCGAAAUAGCUUUAGGGCUAGCCUCAAGUGAUGAUUAUUGGAGGUAGAGCACUGUUUGGACGAGGGGCCCCUCUCGGGUUACCGAAUUCAGACAAACUCCGAAUGCCAAAUAAUUUAACUUGGGAGUCAGAAUGUGGGUGAUAAGGUCCAUAUUCGAAAGGGAAACAGCCCAGACCACCAGCUAAGGUCCCAAAAUAUAUGUUAAGUGGAAAAGGAUGUGGCGUUGCCCAGACAACUAGGAUGUUGGCUUAGAAGCAGCCAUCAUUUAAAGAGUGCGUAAUAGCUCACUAGUCGAGUGACACUGCGCCGAAAAUGUACCGGGGCUAAACAUAU